CAGUCGCCACGGGAAUACGUAGGUGGCAAGCGUUGUCCGGAAUUAUUGGGCGUAAAGGGCUCGCCGACGGUUUCUUAAGUCUGAUGUGAAAGCCCCCGGCUCAACCGGGGAGGGUCAUUGGAAACUGGGAAACUUGAGUGCAGAAGAGGAGAGUGGAAUUCCACGUGUAGCGGUGAAAUGCGUAGAGAUGUGGAGGAACACCAGUGGCGAAGGCGACUCUCUGGUCUGUAACUGACGCUGAGGAGCGAAAGCGUGGGGAGCGAACAGGAUUAGAUACCCCAGUAGUCCCUGUCUCUUAUAC
rnacentral:rRNA from 1 species